CAUGAUUUCAACAAUCUGCCACAGGCAGCCCAUCUUAGUGUCGCUGCCUCACUUCCGUCUACCCAAAGACCUCCACCCAGCAGAGGGAGGAAAGAGAAGAAAGGAUGCAGUGGACAGAAAAUGUCUUCCCAUCAAGGACAAGCAAAGGAGAGAAGGCACAGUUGAGAUCAUCUCUCUCCCUUGACCUACAUCAAUACGGAACAUUCGUGUUUAUCGCAUUUAACGAACUGGGAAAAAAGAAGUGACUUUUGGAGAGAAUUCGAGAAGCACUGCAAAACCUUCCAGCAUCUUCCUCCAGGCACCUCGCUAUAGUCCAGCUCUGGCGACCUUCCCUGAGCCCACCCAGCUUGUGUCCGCCCUUUCUUUUGCAGUUCCCUCUGCCUGGAAUGUUUUUCCUUCGACUGCUCCUUUUCAGCAUUCAUGUCUCUGCCCUAUCUCCCCCUCGUCAAAAAAGCCUCCCCCUCCCAAACCAAAGCAGCCCCUACUCAGCUAUCUCUAGCACUCUUGCUUUAUUGUAUUAUUGUCCCAAUACUUUGUCUCUUGCUGAAAUGAU